CCGGCCUCCUGGAGCUCCACCACAGAGGAGCUGUUUUCAAAGUGGGGCCCAUGUGGCAUCAGGUCCAGGGCUGCGUGGCAGGUGAUCGCCUGCCCGUGGUCCCAGCGCCGAGGGGUGAUCUCAUGGGUCACUGGGAUGUCGUUGGGUCCGAUCCCAGUAUGGUUCUGGAAGGUCUCCGUGUGCAGGGUCCGUCCCCCCUGGCGGAGGGUCACGGUGAGGUGCGUGACGGGAGCCACGUUCAGAACCCAGCACGUCAGGUUAUAGGCCCGUCCCAGCUCCAUCUUGGGGAGUGGCUCCAGCACCACCCGCUCCGGCAC